UACGUAGGGGGGCUAGCGUUGUCCGGAUUUAUUGGGCGUAAAGAGCGUGUAGGCGGCCUGGUAGGUCUGCUGUGAAAACUCGAGGCUCAACCUCGAGAUGUCGGCGGAAACCAUUUGGCUAGAGUCCGGAAGAGGAGAGUGGAAUUCCUGGUGUAGCGGUGAAAUGCGCAGAUAUCAGGAAGAACACCUAUGGCGAAGGCAGCUCUCUGGGACGGUACUGACGCUGAGACGCGAAAGCGUGGGGAGCGAACAGG
rnacentral:rRNA from 1 species